GAGAAGCCUUCGGGCUGAAACCGGCGCACGGGUGCGUAACGCGUAUACAUCUGCCUUUCACAUAGGGAUAGCCCGAAGAAAUUUGGAUUAAUACCUAAUGGUAUAUAGGAGCGGCAUCGUUUUUAUAUUAAAGCUACGGUGGUGAAAGAUGAGUAUGCGUUCUAUUAGCUAGUUGGAGAGGUAACGGCUCCCCAAGGCGACGAUAGAUAGGGGUUCUGAGAGGGAUGUCCCCCACACUGGUACUGAGAUACGGACCAGACUCCUACGGGAGGCAGCAGUGAGGAAUAUUGGACAAUGGUCGGAAGACUGAUCCAGCCAUGCCGCGUGCAGGAUGAAGGUCCUAUGGAUUGUAAACUGCUUUUGUAAGGGAAGAAUAAGGAGUACGUGUACUUUGAUGACGGUACCUUACGAAUAAGCAUCGGCUAACUCCGUGCUAGCAGCCGCGGUAAUACGGAGGAUGCGAGCGUUAUCCGGAAUCAUUGGGUUUAGAGGGUCCGUAGGCGGGCUGAUAAGUCAGAGGUGAAAGCGCUUAGCUCAACUAAGCAACUGCCUUUGAAACUGUCAGUCUUGAAUGAUUGUGAAGUAGUUGGAAUGUGUAGUGUAGCGGUGAAAUGCUUAGAUAUUACACAGAACACCGAUAGCGAAGGCAUAUUACUAACAAUUUAUUGACGCUGAUGGACGAAAGCGUGGGGAGCGAACAGGAUUAGAUANCCUGGUAGUCCACGCUGUAAACGAUGGAUACUAGCUGUUUGGAGCAAUCUGAGUGGCUAAGCGA
rnacentral:rRNA from 1 species